ACCGAAACAAGCAUUGAAGAACAAACAAGAGAGGACAGCAGCAUUUCAGCACCCCUUAAACACAACCAAAAACGAAACAUACCGGCGGCAAUAUGUAGCGGCAGGCUGCAGACACCACGGUUUACAUCGCAUCCUCGUCCCAGGAUCCAACGCACCAGCUCCACACAGUUGAAGCCAAUGGCACGCUGAAGUAGAUUGUAGUUGUCCGGACCCACCACUGACAAGAUGUUUUCACCCUAAGAUGGAGAUGUGCAUAUUUGCAGUAACCACAUGGAUGGUAAUUUAAGUGCGGCGUAGUGCAAUACUGCUUUGCUAUCGAUGCUCUGUCAUUGUUACUGGGAGCCAAUCAACCAGCACUUUCUGUAUCGCGCAACACUCAAAGUAUUGCAGUAGGAGCAUAACAUUUUUAUUUCUAAUGCAGUUGUGAACAAACUCAUGUGAUUAAGCAGUGCAUAAUAUUUCCAAAUUCCUUACUUCAUUCUAACUUUUGCUUUCUAAUUCCAUCCAUCCUUCUCUUCCAUUUCCAUUUUGACAUGAUGAAAAUAACAAGCACAGGCUAAGUAACGCAAUUCUACAGCUCUUUCUGCUGUUUAUGACACCUACUGGUUGGUUUACAUCAUUGCAUAACUUACGAAGGGAUCCGGCGGCUUUUUUCACUGAAACUUUGACCAGUUGUCAUCAAAGAAUUUCAUAAUAAUUUGUGUGAUGAAAGUAUGGUAAUACUAGACAUUCAUCUGCCAUCAGAAUGACAAACAGAAAAAGAAGCUUUAGAUUGACAUUAUGCAGACAGCAUACUUUAUUUAUUUAUUUAUCUUAUUUUAUUCAUUCAUAUGGUCAGCACAUACCUAGACAGCUGUUGCGACUACAUUGCUGUCGCGUACAAACUAAACAUAGUACAUGUUUAUACAAUUCUAUAGAAAGCAAUCAGGAUAGGAAGAAACAACAUAUAAACAUAUAUGAAAACAAUAAAUCACAUGAGUUAAGAUUAACAUGUGUAUAUCGCUAUAACUAAAAAAAAACAUGAUGUGCCAUACAGCUGCAACCGAAAACAGCUAACAAUAAAACACAUUCACAACAGUUUACAAAUAAUUGGUAACAGCAUUUUCAAAAGCUUUUAAAUCAGGACAAGCUACUAUCCCUUGUGGCAAGUUGUUCCAAUCCUCUAUGCUUCAAACCAAGAAUGAAUGUUUGAAUGAUUCUUUUCUAUAAUUAAACGGUUUAAUAUGUUUCAAA